AUAGAAAAAAACUGCAGCACUAUGUAGAAAGCAAGGUGUGUAUAUAUUUAGGAGGUGUAUCGAUAAAUCGAAUUCCCGAUUCAGCCAUUUUGGUUUGCGAACUGCGAACUUUCAUGGAGUUUGUUUACCAACAAACCACUGAACAGCUGUGAUCUAAGCAGCAGCAGCCGAGUCCGUUCGAUUUUUCUUUCCGGGUCCCUCGAAAUCACCGAAGUUGUAGUCACUCAUGCCGCUGCCGGAGUCCUCCCGCGGGGUACAAGGUUCUCUGUGGUACAAGUUCGUUCGCCGGGUUAUUUUUCACGCUAAAGAGUCCGUUGUUGUUAGGUACCGGGCGUAGGAGACAUCCAUCGGCCGAAUUUGCCUGAAUAUUGAGGUAAUGGCAGAAUGUGCAUUCCGGAUCCCAUCAGUCCCGCAGGACUGUAAUUGCCAGGUGAUGAGAUUGAACAGUUUAUGGACGAGGUUGCAUUUCCUAGCUCGAGCAGUUUCAUUUCAAUGGAAGCCUUUGGAACUGCUGCCGAUCGUUCCCAUGUUGACUUUAAAUGGUUGCUGCACGUUAGUUUUUCUUCUUCCGGAGACGGAUUCGAUCCUAAGUAAACACUUAAGCUGGGAUUUGUUAUGGUGGAGCUGGCUGCGAUUGGAAACUGGAGUGGCAGUCAAAGCAGAGGUGCUAGUACAAAUGCAAGGCACCCGUUACCCGCAGAGUAUUCGUGUUAAUUUUUUUCACACACCGCGCCGAGACACAAAUCGACAUGGAUUUUGUUUACCAACAAAGCCCUAAGUUCCUGUGCCCCAUUUUUCAUCAGCUGUUCUGGUACAGGAAGACAAUUUUCAUCAAAGAAAUUGCUGGUUACAACGUGAACAAUGUGUUUUUGAAGUGGUCGACAGCAAAGUGUAGGAUUUCAAUUAGCUGCCUAUCAUCGCAUGAAAAUCUUCGUCGAUUAUCCUUAUCGGGAUAAAAGAUCCACGGGCGAUAGGUUGACAACGAAUGCAAAACCAAACAUUUUGAGUAUGUUGAAGUUACGCUGUAAAGGUUGGUGCUGUGUUUUAAUGAUAGUAUUGGAUGCAUCAUAUCAUCUAAUUCUCAAUUAGGCCGGAACAAAUUUCAAAUCCUUCUUUUGUCACUCGGUGUUGGAACAUCGCGAGGGGGGGGACAAUAAAAAAUAAUGCGAAAAACAAAAAAAUUGGAAUAAAUUGCACGGAAGCUUGUAUGCAACAAAAUUUCAUAAUAUAUUGUUGCACAAAACCCAUAAAUCAAGUAAUUUUUUAUCGAAUAAUUCAAUGAAAUCGAGAAAACAAAAGGUGAAAUAACUCCCAUCUUCUUAAAUUUAAUUUUUAGUCUUGUAAACUUUCAGAUAUUGGAAUUUUUUAUAGGAAUUAACAUAAAUUACUUCAAACUUUAUUUAUUUCCCCCUUCGGGUUUUUGGAAAUUUCGAAGGGGGGGGGGGGUGACAAAAGAAGAAAUUGAUAUUUUUUCCAGCCUUACUUUUUCAAAUGAUUCUCUAUUGAAAUGCUUUCAGCUUUUUGACCAUCAGCAUGGAGUCCGAGGGCUCUCAAGCCAAAUGGGAAAUUAGUUACCAGAUUAAAAUAUCGUUCAACGACCAUUCCACCGACUAUGUUCUGCUAUGGACUAUAUCUCGAAUUUCGAUUUUCAUCCGGGUGCGAUGGUUACGGUGUCGGAAAUGAAGGAAGAGGCUUGGAAGAAGCUUAGCUAAAGUGGGCUUUCCUUAUCCGAGGAAAAAAAAAUAAAAAGGGCGAGCAACAGGUUUGGCCAAAUAACACGAAAUGCAGAUGAGAUGAAAAAAGAAAAGGAGAUUCAAUGCUUGAUUGCUUGGGAAUAGAAAAUAAUUUGAAAAAUAAAAAUGUAGAAGAUUUAUUCUCGGAUACCAA